rnacentral:rRNA from 1 species
UGUGCAAAGGUAGCAUAAUCAUUAGUCUUUUAAUUGGAGACUGGAAUGAAAGAGUAAACCGGGAGAAUUUUUUUUAAAUUAAGAAAAUAAAUUUUACUUUUUAGUAAGAAGGCUAAAAUUUUUCUUUUAGACAAGAAGACCCUAUAAAACUUUAUAUUUUUCUCUCUUUUUGAGUUUAAAAGUAUUUCACUGGGGCGGUGGGGAAAAAAGCUUUCCUAAUUUUUAAAAACUGACAAGUUAAAAUACCUAAAAAUUUUAAAGUUGAAAUAAGUUACUUUAGGGAUAACAGCUUAAUUUACUUUUAAAGAUCAAAUUGACAAGUAAGUUUAUGACCUCGAUGUUGAAUUAAAAUACCUUUCUUGUGCAAAAGUUGAGAAGGAGUCUUCACAGACUAUCGUAACCA